rnacentral:ncRNA from 1 species
GCAAUAGAGGCGCGGAGAGCAGGGUACCUUUUCGAUCGGCAUGGGCAACCGAAAAACGUCGGACAGGGAAGGGGCUUUCCGCCGAAAGGACGAAGCAGGCCUGCCUUCGCCUUGGUGGCAUCGUGUAAGCGGUGCGACUGUCAUGCUGUUGAGGCGUGGAGCGCUAUUGGU